UAUGGCAUAUUAUGUGGUGCCAAAGUAAAAAAUCAUUUAUUUAUCAUGAAUUGGUCUUUUUUAAUGAAUUCGCCAUCUUGCGUAGACUAUAUUUGAUUAAAAUGCGCAUCAUUGUCACGCAUUCACAAUCUUGUUUACUAAUAUGGCGGUGUUGUAUAUUCAUUAGUAAAGAUGCCAUUUUGUCUGGCAAAUUACAUGGAGGAUUAUAUUCUAAGUUACCCAAAUACAUCGGAAAAUACUCAACAAUUUGCAUCUUUCGUGAAGAAAUUAAUUUCAUUUAACAUUCGUUAACCGCUGAUGGCAACCUUACCUCACAUCUAAAGAUGACCAAAACCACCAUCAUCAUGAUGGCAACCUUAACUCACAUCUAAAGAUGACCAGAACCACCAUCAUCAUGAUGGCAACCUUAACUCACACCUAAAGAUGACCAGAACCACCAUCAUCAUGAUGGCAACCUUAACUCACAUCUAAAGAUGACCAGAACCACCAUCAUCAUGAUGGCAACCUUAACUCACACCUAAAGAUGACCAAAACCACCAUCACCAUGAUGGCAACCUUAACUCACACCUAAAGAUGACCAAACCACCAUCAUCAUGAUGGCAACCUUAACUCACACCUAAAAAUGACCAGAACCACCAUCACCAUGAUGGCAACCUUACCUCACACCUAAAGCUGACCAGAACCACCAUCACCAUGAUGGCAACCUUACCUCACACCUAAAGAUGACCAGAACCACCAUCACCAUGAUGGCAACCUUACUCACACCUAAAGAUGACCAGAACCACCAUCACCAUGAUGGCAACCUUACCUCACACCUAAAGCUGACCAGAACCACCAUCAACAUGAUGGCAACCUUA